GGACUGUAGGCUGCAACUCGCCUACACGAAGCUGGAAUCGCUAGUAAUCGCGGAUCAGCACGCCGCGGUGAAUACGUUCCCGGGCCUUGUACACACCGCCCGUCACACCAUGAGAGUUGGCAAUACCCAACGUACGUGAUCUAACCCGCAAGGGAGGAAGCGUCCUAAGGUAGGGUCAGCGAUUGGGGUGAAGUCGUAACAAGGUAGC
rnacentral:rRNA from 1 species